GUGGGGAAUAUUGGACAAUGGGCGCAAGCCUGAUCCAGCCAUGCCGCGUGAGUGAUGAAGGCCUUAGGGUUGUAAAGCUCUUUCAGUAGGGAAGAUAAUGACGGUACCUACAGAAGAAGCCCCGGCUAACUUCGUGCCAGCAGCCGCGGUAAUACGAAGGGGGCUAGCGUUGUUCGGAUUUACUGGGCGUAAAGCGCACGUAGGCGGAAUGUUAAGUCAGAGGUGAAAUCCUGGAGCUCAACUCCAGAACUGCCUUUGAUACUGGCAAUCUCGAGUCCGGAAGAGGUGAGUGGAACUCCUAGUGUAGAGGUGGAAUUCGUAGAUAUUAGGGAGAACACCAGUGGCGAAGGCGGCUCACUGGUCCGGUACUGACGCUGAGGUGCGAAAGCGUGGGGAGCAAACAGGAUUAGAAACCCGGGUAGUCC
rnacentral:rRNA from 1 species